rnacentral:tRNA from 1 species
AUACAGUGGCUUGACAUGGGAUCUCAGUUCACAGACCAGGGACUGAAUAACAGUGAAAACGCUGAGUCCUGACCAUUAGACCACCAGGGAACUCCCAAGUGGAGGGAAUUUUGAACCAUAUCUAGACUCAGUCCUGAAAGUAAGGUGUGGCCUUUGAUGGAACAGAUCAUCUGGUUUCUAGGGCCUCUUUGAACUCAGAAAUUCUGCAAUUUUAUGAAUUUACAAUCUAGGUAGGGAGAUAAGACCCAGGUAACUGGAGAAUGGUUUGAGAUCAUUUACAACCAAAGGAUAAAGGUUUUGUGGAUGAAGGUGACUGAUGAUACAGGCAGUAAUUUCUAAAAAGCCCAAUCAUGAGAAUAUCCUGAUGGUCUUUUUAAAUGUAAAGAUUUCUGAGUCCUAUCCCAGAUCAACCAAAUCACAGUUUCCAGAGAAACUGGUAUUUUUAACAAGCAUCUCUGAUUCCCAAUCAAUGGGAUCUACCCCUAGACAUUUAGAUUUAAUUAGGGCGAUGUUCCAGGUGAUAGUAUUUUGAAUGAAAUUUAUUACAUUUAUAGUUGUACAACAAUCAUCACAACCCAAUUUUAUAGUAUUUCCAUCCCAAACCCCCAGCCCAUCCCUUCACCCCCAACCUGUCUCCUUUGGAAACCAUAAGUUUUUCAAAGUCUGCAAGUCAGUAUCUGUUCUGCAAAGAAGUUCUUUGUGUCCUUUUUUUAGAUUCCACAUGUAAGUGAUAGCAUAUGAUAUUGGUGUCUCACUGUCUGACUAACUUCACCUAGCAUGAUAAUUUCUAGGACGGUAUUUUUUUUUCUUUGCCACAGCAUGAAGUGGCUUGAGUGCAAUCUCAGUUCCCAGACCAGGGGAUUGAACCCAGGCCGCAGCAGUGAAAGUACCAAAUCCUAACCACUAGACCAUCAGGGAACCCCCUAGGUAACAGCAAUUUUUUUUUUUUUUUUGGUCUUCUUAGGGCUGCAUCCACAGCAUAUGGAAGUACCCAGGCUAGGGAUCAAAUCGGAGCUGUAGCUGCCAGCCUACAAAACAGCCACAGCAACACCAGAUCCAAGCCAAGUCUGAAAUCUAUACCACAGCUCAUGGUAAUGCCAGAUCCUUAACCCACUGAGAUUUGCCAGGGAUCAAACCAGAAUCCUCAUGGAUACUAGUCAGGUUCAUUAUCACUGAGCCAUAAUAGAAAUUCCUGACAGUAAUUUUUUAAAUGCCAUACAGGUGGUUCUAAUGUAACCAGAGUUGAAAACCCCUGGGUUAGAUCAUUGAAUUGCUGGGAAUUUUUUUAAAAGGAUCAGAUAUUUGCAGACCCAAGUUCAUAGCAGCAUUAUUCACAACAGUCAAAAGAUGGAAGUAAUUCACAUGUCUUUUGACAGAUAAAUGGAUAAACACAGUGUGGAAUAUAUAUAGAAUGGGAUAUUAUUAAGCCUUAAGAAGAAGGAAGGACAUUCUAACACGUGUUACAACAUGGAUGAAGCAUGAAGGACAUUAGCCUAAGUAAAAAUAAACCAGUCAUAAAAAAGACAAGUAUUGUAUGAUUCCACUUAUCUGGGGUAGUCAGCUCAUAGAAACAGAAAGUAGAAUGGUGAUUACCAGGGGCCAGGAAGAGAAGGGGGAUGGGGAAUUAUGGAUUAAUGACUAUAGUUUCAGUUUUGCAAGAUAAAAAGUUCUGGAGAUGGGUUGCACAACAAUGUGAACAUACUUAAAACCACUGAACUGUACACUUAAAUAUGGUUAGGAUAGCAAAUUCUAAGUUAUAUGUAUUUUACCACAACCAAAAAAAAAAUUUUUUUAAGCGUAGGAAUGGUAGAUAAAUACCUUGCUUGGCACCACCCACACCCUCAGCCCUGGCAGACAUUGCUAAUUGAUUACUGAAUACUCCCACAGAGAGCCCAGGCCUUCCCAACCCCAACACAGGAGAGAAUAGUGUGAGAUAAGACAGGAGAAAGUGAGAUGAUUAAGAUGCUCUAGUUCUCUCCAGCGCAGUGGGUUAAGGAUCUGGCAAUGACACUGCAGCAGCUUUGGUCACUACUGAGGUACAGCUUUGAUCCCUGGCCCUGGAACUUCCACAUGCCAUGGGCAAAGCCAAAAAAAAAAUCCCCUCAAAUGCACUUUCUACUCUUUAAAACUGCCUGGUGAGCAGAAGAGCAAAAGCCCUUUUUGUGUUGCCAUGUUAUUACACAGCCUCACCAGGAGACUAACUAGUCACAGGGGUCCACUGGCAAGUGCCCUAGCAAGGAUCCAGAGAUGAAGCUGAAGUGAAGGUCUUCCUGCCCCCAAAUCCUUGGGGGGUACCCCACUCCCCCACUCUGUCCUUGGACCCCUCUCCAGACUCCUGCUGCACACGAUUCCCCAGGCAGAGACUCACAGGGGUCCCUGGCUGGCCCCUGAGGACCUGAUAUGUCACCAAGUUGAGGCAGGAGCCACUUAUAGACAGAGGUGUUAGCAGAGGCUUUUUCAAGACACUCCACUUGACAUUUGGCUAAACUAGGUUUCCACCUUUGCUGAGAGGGGGCCAACCUUCUUCUGCAAAGAAGACGAGCCAACACCUUUAAAUGAGUCACAUCCCCUGGAGGUGUUCUCUCCCCUUCCCUCCUAAAAAUCUCUUUUGUCUUUUAGAACCAGAGGAGACAAACAUGGUAUUAUGCUCUUCCAUAAUCCAGUUCUCCAUCCUGGCCUUGCAAAGCCAAAACUCUGUGAGGAAGGAAAUGUGUGGUUCACACUAAGGGUGGGGGCUGUCAAUCUGUUUGGAGAGGGUUGGGUUGUUCCCAGGAUGAUCAUGACUACAAAAGCAAAUCGAUGCUUGAAGAUCUGCUCCCUGCUUUUCACUAAUUAGUGUACAGAAGGGAGGAGGAGGGGGGAUGGGAAACAGAGGGCAGCCACCAGCUGUGGAGAUUUGUUACGUUAAUUAAACAACGUGAUGAGACAGGAAAAGCAGAGUUGGGUCUGAUGUGUCCUGGGUGCCCAGAUGUUUCUGUGAUGCCCAGGGAGUUUGGGGCAAUGUAUGGGGGGGUGGGUAGGGACUCCCCUUGAGCUGGCUUCUCUGCCCCAACACCAAGGGCUCAGCACUGAAGCCUAAAAUCCCUUCCACUGGGCACUCAGAAGCCAGCUCCAGAAACCUCCUUGAGGCACCUAGGAGACACAGAUAGUGGGGGAAGUCUUCUCUGUCACUGCCACAAGCAAUCUGCCAGCCCAAGACAUCGCCAGAAAGCUUUCCCAUGGUGCUCCGACUAUAUUUUAUGCCAUCUUUAAGUGUGGGUGCGUAAGAGUGGAUAAAUGGGUUAGUGAUCAGGAGAACACCAAAGGGGAAAAAUGGAGCCAAGUUGAGAGUCUAGUGAUAAAGCAUAAUGGAGCUCUAUUACUAGUCAAGUAACUCUGUUUUUAAAAAGGGGGUUGCAAGUCUGGGCAGCUGUUGAGUACACACAAAACAGCUGCAUGUGCUUGCUUUCCACCUCUUCAUUUUUCCUGCACCCAAAGAAGCCACCUUGCCAGUCCACCUGCCACCUCCACCGGUGUCUGGGGAUGGCUGCAGUGGUCUGGGCAAAGGCUAUGAGGCCAAGUUCCCAGGUAGAGCUAGGAGCUAGAGCCCUUACAGUUGGCUCCCUUGCUCCCUGGAAAUUGUCCCUUAGAAUGCAGGCAGCUCCACUAGACACUGGGUAAAAGAUGCACCAUCACAAUCGUGGGGGUUUACAACUGGAGGGCUCCCCAAACAACAUAUGAUCCCCCACGCUCAUUUCAGAGGCAGUGAGAUAGCUAAAAAAGUGCAGUGGCAGCACAGAGGGACAAAGCGUUAGAAGCAGAGCCAGCCAAGAACAUAGGGUUCCACCGUGCCUGGACAGACGGUGGUCCCACACAUGGAGACAGUUGGAUUCUGCUCCUGUCACUGUGGUUUGCUGGGGAAUGGCCCCAUGUUCCUCUGGUCAGCUCUGAUGACCUUGGAGUAG